CACACCACGAGCCCCGGCGGUGGAGGGGAUAAACCAGUCUCGUCUCGCGGUGCUUCUGGUUCUUCUGACUGGCUGCUCCCUGCUCCCCAGCACCGGCAGCUGCAGGCCGGCGUCGGUCCACCGCAGGGCGGCUUCCUGACCCGACUACAGGGACCCAGAAUAUUCCAUGGAACAGGCUGUGUGUGCGAGCCUACAACAUUAUUGAAAACAUUUGAGUUACUAGCCUAUUCGUUGGCUCAAUAAUGACUCGACGGUGCAGAUUUCAACAUUGUAAGCAUAGUGCAGUCUGACGUUUAGACAGCCUCCAAGUCCUGACUUCCAAGGACUGCAGGAGCAGCGGACACCUCAGCCCGAUUCAACAACAAGCACAAGGCUGUCAGUGAGGCCUCCACUCCUGUCGCUCUGCUUAGGCCCAGCGAGGCUAACCUCCAGCGUACAGCUGACACCCUGCAGCCUCUGGGAGUUAACAAAUGGAAAAAGCCCUGAAGAUAAAUGAAGCACAAUCACCCGAGGCAUGGGUGAUGCCAGGGGCCCCCCUCGCUUGCUUCUCCAAAAGGCCCACCCAUCGGUGCCCCAGGGCAGAGCCGAGCGAGGGAGAAGGUGAGAGGGAGAUGGAGAGGGGAGAAGGUCAGACUCAAAGCUUCAGGCAUUGGGAAGAAACACACACUUCUCUGUGUUUUCACUUGUCUGCUUGAUGAACUAUCAUACUCACUACAUGGCUUGGGGGGGAGGACACAUGUUUUUAUACUAAAGUCUAAGGUGUGAUGGAAAUAAAUUGCAGUCAUAAAACACCUGAAAUAUGGUUCAGCUGACUUCUUUUAACACCUGAGAUCUGGGUUGACUAGAGGGCAGUACUGUACCUCUGCUUGAUUGAGAUCUAUAGUCGCCUUUUUCCCCUCUUAUCACACAUGUGCAUGCUACAUUGUAGCAUACCUGAAUAGAGCAUGCGUUACUGGAAUUACUAACACUAUUCAGUAUUGAUUUUAUAUAUAGUAACUGAAUAAAUCAGCAAAAAAUGUCCCAUGCAGUUUCUGCUGUUAACGAAGGGAAUGUCUUGACCU